GCAAUAAUGGUCAAGGGGUUACGAUACGGUCCUCCCACAUCGUCUGUUUUCGACGAAUAUAGGAUAGACCGUGACCCGGGUUCGAAUCCCGGUUAUUGCA